rnacentral:rRNA from 1 species
AAGGCGAAACCGCGAAUGGCUCAUUAAAUCAGUUAUGGUUCACUAGAUCGUAUAUCCUACACGGAUAACUGAGGUAAUUCUUCAGCUAAUACGUGCUACAAGCUCGUUCCCUUGUGGAGCGAGCGCAGUUAUUAGAACAAAACCAAUCCGGCCUUCGGGUCGGUUAAAAUGGUGACUCUGAAUAACCGAAGCGGAGCGUAUGGUCUCGUACCGACGCCAGAUCUUUCAAGUGACUGCUCUAUCAGCUUGUUGUUAGGUUAUGCUCCUAACAAGGCUUCAACGGGUAACGGGGUAUCAGGGUCCGAUACCGGAGAGGGAGCCUGAGAAACGGCUACCACAUCCAAGGAAGGCAGCAGGCGCGCAAAUUACCCACUCCCAGCACGGGGAGGUAGUGACGAAAAAUAACGAUGCGAGGGCAUAUUGCUUCUCGUAAUCGGAAUGGGUACACUUUAAAUCCUUUAACGAGGAUCUAUUGGAGGGCAAGUCUGGUGCCAGCAGCCGCGGUAAUUCCAGCUCCAAUAGCGUAUAUUAAAGUUGCUGCGGUUAAAAAGCUCGUAGUUGAUCGUAGACGUAGGAUGGGUGGUGCGCCUAACGGCGCUACUGCUCGUUCCGACGUCAAAAGCCGGUCAUGUCUUGCAUAUCCUUCAUUGGGUGUGCUUGGCGGCCGGAGCGUUUACUUUGAAAAAAUUAGAGUGCUCAAAGCAGGCGUACGGCCUUGCAUAAUGGUGCAUGGAAUAAUGGAAUAGGACCUCGGUUCUAUUUUGUUGGUUAUCGGAGCUCGAGGUAAUGAUUAAGAGGAACAGACGGGGGC